rnacentral:misc_RNA from 1 species
GAUGAAGAACGCAGCGAAAUGCGAUACGUAAUGUGAAUUGCAGAAUUCAGUGAAUCAUCGAAUCUUUGAACGCAUAUUGCGCUCUCUGGUAUUCCGGAGAGCAUGCUUGUUUGAGUAUCAGUAAACACCUCAACUGCCUUUUCUUUUUUGAAAUUGGAGCUGGACUUGAGUGAUCCCAACGCUUUCUUCCAAGAAAGUGGCGGGUUGCUUGAAAUGCAGGUGCAGCUGAACUUUUCUCUGAGCUAUAAGCAUAUCUAUUUAGUCUGCCUAAAAAACAGAUUAUUACCUUUGCUGCAGCUAACAUAAAGGAGACUAGUUCUUGUGCUGACUGAUGCAGGAUUCACAGAGACAGCUUCGGCUGACUUUGUAAACUCGAUCUCAAAUCAAGUAAGACUACCCGCUGAACUUAAGCAUAUCAAUAAGCGGAGGA